rnacentral:rRNA from 1 species
UACGUAGGGGGCAAGCGUUGUCCGGAUUUAUUGGGCGUAAAGAGCUCGUAGGCGGUUCGGUAAGUCGGCUGUGAAAUCUCCACGCUCAACGUGGAGGGGUCAGUCGAAACUGCCGUGACUCGAGUCCGGUAGAGGAGUGUGGAGUUCCCGGUGUAGCGGUGAAAUGCGCAGAGAUCGGGAGGAACACCCGUAGCGAAGGCGGCACUCUGGGCCGGUACUGACGCUGAGGAGCGAAAGCGUGGGGAGCAAA